GAAAUGCGAUAAGUAGUGUGAAUUGCAGAAUUUAGCGAAUCAUCGAAUCUUUGAACGCACAUUGCGCCCCUUGGUAUUCCAUGGGGCAUGCCUGUUCGAGCGUCAUUUCAACCCUCAAGCACUGCUUGGUGUUGGGCGUUUGUCCCGCCUACGCGCGUGGACUCGCCUCAAAGUCAUUGGCAGCUGUUCCCCUUCGGCUCGUAAGCGCAGCACAGUCGGCGCCCGGAGCUCUGGUGGGAUGGCGUCCAGCAAGCUAUAUUUUCAGACUUGACCUCGGAUCAGGUAGGGAUACCCGCUGAACUUAAGC
rnacentral:misc_RNA from 1 species